rnacentral:rRNA from 1 species
UACGUAGGGUCCGAGCGUUGUCCGGAAUUACUGGGCGUAAAGAGCUCGUAGGCGGUCUGUCGCGUCUGCUGUGAAAACUCACAGCUUAACUGUGGGCGUGCGGGCGAUACGGGCAGACUGGAGUACUGCAGGGGAGACUGGAAUUCCUGGUGUAGCGGUGGAAUGCGCAGAUAUCAGGAGGAACACCGGUGGCGAAGGCGGGUCUCUGGGCAGUAACUGACGCUGAGGAGCGAAAGCGUGGGGAGCGAACAGG